AUGUUCAAAUAAACCUAUGCUACCUUAUUUGAAGAAAGUCGACCUGUGUGUAAUGGAAGAAGUUUAUAUAAGGGUGAGGCCCUAAACAAUCAAUUAAAGCACAUAUCAACAAUUCAUUAUAAGAGGUUUUUUCAAUGAUGAAAAACCCUCAAUUCGAUCAUCUCGACCUCAACAAGUAUGGACAUGAGAAAAUGUAGAUUUCAAGUCUUGAAAAUAGUAUAUCUUGGAGUGUAUUGUCUAGACCGUCAAGUUUUAUGAUGUUUAAGUAUUCAUAGAUCUGCUUGAGAUUUUGAUACUGAAACACGUUUAGGCACCAUUUGAAGGUGCACCAUACUUUGAUUGCUUAGGGCUUGUGUCUUAUACAGACCGCAUCCAUAUGUAAUUAGCCUCGACAUCUGAGCACAAUUACAUACUAUGCUAGCAGCAUUAGUGACAACUAUACUAACUUCUUAUGAAUAAUGAUAAAUAGAAUUGUAUAAGAUAACUUCAUUCACUUUUGCUAUAAGGAAGUCACAAUCAUAUUUAGCCAUCGGAUGCAAAAUCCAAUAGCUUGAAGUCUAUCGCAUAGUUUGUGAAAUUUUAUUUUAGACUUUUUGCCCGGUUAAUAACACAACCAUAGCCACCCAAUUCACAUCAAACAGUGGAUAUUAGUGUAUACAGUUCUACAGAAGUCGUACUCAAUGUGCUGAAAAUAAAGGGCUUGCUCGCCAUAUGAUGAAAUUCUUGCCCUUUUUUGUACGCUAUCUUUUUCUUUCUUUACAAGCCUCAGGGAUUUCUUUUAUUAUUUUUCCUAUUACGUUUUAAGACAUCCCCUGCAUCAUCUUCGGUCUGAGAUGGAGAGGGGCUUAAUCAUACUUCAUACCAAAUAUGAGAGUGAGAGACACGCUCUAUUAUACUUCAUUCCAAAUACGAAUACUAAGAAAAGUCGGCCAUGUGUCCAAG
rnacentral:lncRNA from 1 species